GGGCGAAUGGUUUAGUGGUAUAAUACUCCCUUAGCAUAACGUGACUACAGACCUUUGAGAUCUGAUAAACGGUGCGACAAUUGGGAGUGGUCCAGGGUUCGAUUCCCUGUUCGUCCA